UUUAACAUAAGCAAAUCAAAUUAAAACUAUUUUCUUUGAAAUUAAGCUUUAACCUUUCUUCAAUACAUUAUACAUCCUUAAAAUAUCCAACAAUGGACGCCUCCCAGAGCGCAAGCUACAACGCUGGUCAGGCCAAGGCCUCCACCGAGGAAAAGGCCGGACAGGUGUCCGAUAAGGCCGGACAAAUGACCAACAAGGCGGGAGACAUGCUUCAUUCGGCCAAGGAAUCAGUGCAAGAGGCUGGUUCACAAAUGAAGGACAAGGCAUCUGAUGCUGUUGAUGCUGUCAAGGAUGCCACUGGCAUGAACAAAUAAGCUAGCUAGCCGUGAAGCUUUCACUAUCGAAUAAAACUUUUUUUAAAAAAUUUAGGACCAUUAAUGGAAUAAUGGAGACACAAUUUAAAUAUAGAAUUUUAUUUUUGUUGUAUUGCAAAUUCUUUGCAGUUAAAUGUGCUGUAAAAGAAUGUAGUUUUAGUUUUUCAGUUAUGUCCAACUAUUAUAGAAUUAACCUGCUAUAUUGAUUAAUUAGCUUCUU